AAAAGGUGAGAGAGUUGCAAAGAGAGCAGAGAAGAAAAGAAAAUGUGCAACUAUGACACCAAAAGAACUCAAAGAUUACCAGAUGCAAAAAGCAAUAAAAAAGUCAAAGAAAUCAAAGUAGAAGAGGAAGAAGACAAUACAGGAUAAAGCUGUAGGUGUUUCUACAAGCUCUGCCCUAGUCAAGGGGGAAAUUUCAAACAUUGUUAGACAGGUGAUAUCUCUAAUUUUG
rnacentral:lncRNA from 1 species